rnacentral:rRNA from 1 species
AGCGAACGCUGGCGGCAGGCCUAACACAUGCAAGUCGAACGAACCUUUCGGGGUUAGUGGCGGACGGGUGCGUAACACGUGGGAACGUGCCUUUAGGUUCGGAAUAACUCAGGGAAACUUGUGCUAAUACCGAAUGUGCCCUUCGGGGGAAAGAUUAAUCGCCUUUAGAGCGGCCCGCGUCUGAUUAGCUAGUUGGUUGAGGUAAUGGCUCACCAAGGCGACGAUCAGUAGCUGGUCUGAGAGGAUGAUCAGCCACAUUGGGACUGAGACACGGCCCAAACUCCUACGGGAGGCAGCAGUGGGGAAUCUUGCGCAAUGGGCGAAAGCAUGACGCAGCCAUGCCGCGUGAAUGAUGAAGGUCUUAGGAUUGUAAAAUUCUUUCACCGGGGACGAUAAUGACGGUACCCGGAGAAGAAGCCCCGGCUAACUUCGUG